CCUACGGGUGGCAGCAGUGGGGAAUAUUGCACAAUGGGCGCAAGCCUGAUGCAGCCAUGCCGCGUGUGUGAAGAAGGCCUUCGGGUUGUAAAGCACUUUCAGCGGGGAGGAAGGCGGUGAGGUUAAUAACCUCAUCGAUUGACGUUACCCGCAGAGGAAGCACCGGCUAACUCCGUGCCAGCAGCCGCGGUAAUACGGAGGGUGCAAGCGUUAAUCGGAAUUACUGGGCGUAAAGCGCACGCAGGCGGUCUGUCAAGUCGGAUGUGAAAUCCCCGGGCUCAACCUGGGAACUGCAUUCGAAACUGGCAGGCUAGAGUCUUGUAGAGGGGGGUAGAAUUCCAGGUGUAGCGGUGAAAUGCGUAGAGAUCUGGAGGAAUACCGGUGGCGAAGGCGGCCCCCUGGACAAAGACUGACGCGCAGGUGCGAAAGCGUGGGGAGCAAACAGGAUUAGAUACCCUAGUAGUC
rnacentral:rRNA from 1 species